ACUGGGAAGAUAACGGGGAAGGUGAUGAAACCAGGACAUCUCCAGGAACCUCAGAGAUUCCAGAUGAAGAGUUAUCUUGAGGAUCAUCUUUCUCUAAGAUCAUCAUCCCUUCCUGGAGUUCCUAUCUUCCAAGAUGUGACUGUCUAGAGUUCCUUGACUAGGAAGAGGGAUGAAAAUGGCGAGCCUGUGGAUGGAGACUACAGGGGAUAUGGGAGGCAGGGAAGAGGGGUUGCUUCUUUUAAUAAAUCGUCAUUGUUAAAAGCA